rnacentral:rRNA from 1 species
CCUACGGGAGGCAGCAGUAAGGAAUAUUGGUCAAUGGACGAAAGUCUGAACCAGCCAUGCCGCGUGAAGGAUGAAGGUCCUCUGGAUUGUAAACUUCUUUUAUCUGGGACGAAAAAAGGGAAUUCUUUCUCACUUGACGGUACCAGAGGAAUAAGCACCGGCUAACUCCGUGCCAGCAGCCGCGGUAAUACGGAGGGUGCAAGCGUUAUCCGGAUUCACUGGGUUUAAAGGGAGCGUAGGUGGGUCUGUAAGUCAGUGGUGAAAUCUCCGAGCUUAACUCGGAAACUGCCAUUGAUACUAUAGAUCUUGAAUUAUCUGGAGGUAAGCGGAAUAUGUCAUGUAGCGGUGAAAUGCUUAGAUAUGACAUAGAACACCAAUUGCGAAGGCAGCUUACUACGGAUAUAUUGACACUGAGGCUCGAAAGCGUGGGGAUCAAACAGGAUUAGAUACCCUGGUAGUCCACGCCCUAAACGAUGGAUACUCGACAUCAGCGAUACACUGUUGGUGUCUGAGCGAAAGCAUUAAGUAUCCCACCUGGGAAGUACGACCGCAAGGUUGAAACUCAAAGGAAUUGACGG